CCUACGGGUGGCUGCAGUGAGGAAUAUUGGUCAAUGGGCGGGAGCCUGAACCAGCCAAGUCGCGUGAAGGAUGAAGGUCCUACGGAUUGUAAACCUCUUUUGUCCGGGAACAAAGCCCCUUACGUGUAGGGGUUUGCAUGUACCGUAAGAAAAAGCAUCGGCUAACUCCGUGCCAGCAGCCGCGGUAAUACGGAAGAUGCGGGCGUUAUCCGGAUUUAUUGGGUUUAAAGGGUGCGUAGGCGGGAUGUCAAGGGUGCUGUGAAAUCUCCGGGCUCAACCCCGGCCUAGCAGCGGAAACUGGCGUGCUUGAGUGGGCGAGAAGUAUGCGGAAUGCGUGGUGUAGCGGUGAAAUGCUUAGAUAUCACGAAGAACUCCGAUUGCGAAGGCAGCAUGCUGGAGCCGAACUGACGCUGAUGCACGAAAGCGCGGGUAUCGAACAGGAUUAGAUACCCUUGUAGUC
rnacentral:rRNA from 1 species